CUCGAAGUCUUCUUGCGGGUGGAUUCAGUCAGGAGUCUACGAACCUCUGUCGGUACGUGACCUCUCACAUUUAUGUGAAGGGGGACUCCGGGCAGCAGGCGUGACUCGAAGGGGCCUGACGCAUUUCCAACCCGCACGAUAAGGACGCCGCAGCCGGUUGGGUAGCUGCGCGUGUCGGCCAUGAGGACGUGCAGUGGCAGUAGACCGUUUCUCGCUAAAAAGUGGCGUUUGCCGGUUGUUUAGCCAGUUCGUCCGUGGCGCGACACCCGACCGAGGUUCAGGAGGUUCCACUAGAUGGGACCUCGCCGUUCCUUUCUGUCUGUAUAACACAGGUCUGUGUGCACCAGAGCGGGCCGGCGGACAGGCGAGGUGCUGCGCCAUACCGCUCUAGUCAUCGAACUGGGUGGUGCGUAGUAUCCGCCGGUGGUCCGCGUCGGUUAAACCGCAAUGGGAAGAGAGAGUUUGGCUCGUGGCGAGUAGGUCGGUCACCCACCCGACCCGUCUUGAAACACGGACCAAGGAGUCUAACAUGUGCGCGAGUCAUGGGGUCUUGUUUAGGCCCAGAGGCAUAAUGAAAGUGAAGUUGGAUCUCUGUAUACCAUGUUGGGAUUUCCCGAGGAAUUGGAAAGCCCGAGGAAAGCACCAACGACCCGCCCUGUUCUUGAUUUUAAAGUGUGGACGGCGUCUGAGCGCACACGUUGGGACCCGAAAGAUGGUGAACUAUGCCUGGGCAGGACGAAGCCAGAGGAAACUCUGGUGGAGGUCCGCAGCGGUU
rnacentral:rRNA from 1 species